rnacentral:rRNA from 1 species
CCUACGGGUGGCAGCAGUGGGGAAUAUUGGACAAUGGACGAAAGUCUGAAGCAGCGAUGCCGCGUGCAGGAAGAAGGCUCUAUGAGUUGUAAACUGAAGUUGUAGGAAGGUAAACUCCGAUACGUGUCUCUGUCUGCCUGUAUCGUGCGAAUAAGGCUCGGCUAACUCCGUGCCCGCAGCCGCGGUAAUACGGAGGUUCCAAGCGUUAGCCGGAUUUAUUGGGUGUAAAGGGUGCGUAGGCGGGCGGAUAAGUUAGAUGUGAAGUCCCGAGGCUCAACUUCGGAAUUGCCUCUGAUACUGGUCGGCUAGAGCGUAGUUGCGGUAGGCGGAAUGUAUGGUGUAGCGGUGAAAUGCUUAGAGAUCAUGCAGAACACCGAUUGCGAAGGCAGCUUACCAGGCUACAUCUGACGUUGAGGCACGAAAGCGUGGGGAGCAAACAGGAUUAGAUACCCUUGUAGUC